CUUUUCUCCGCAUUUGUACUUUGUUUUCUCGGACUAAUUUUCUCUACUUCGUGGGAAACACGGGUGUCACCAGUUCCAAGCCAAGCAGAAGUGCGAACAAUCCCAGGGAGAGAUAUGAUAGGUUGGUCUUGAGUCGCAUUCCUGCCAUUGGAUUUGUCAACCAUGGCCAAAGAGCAGGAUUCUAUGAUGAAUGGCCCAGGCCUCUGAAACAUGCAGCUGGGUUUGGAGGAGGAGCAACUAUUCUCCCAGAAGGAGAGCGCUGUUCCCAGAAGGGAGAGAACCUAUAAUGUAAUUGCCUGUGCUGGAAGAAAGCUACGGAUAAGGUCAACAAAGAGGUUUGCGGGGGAACAUUCAAGGUUUCACCUUAGGCUUCAUCCAGACCAGGGGCUGUCAACCUUGCCAAGGAUGAGGAUCCUCUUACAACAUCCACACUCUGUGCAGACCUGCCCGUCGCAGCACUCAAUCACAAACUGUGACUGAGAAACAAUGUGAUGAGACAGCAUCUUGCUAUUUUGCUCAGGGUGGUCCUGAACUCCUGGACUCAAGCAAUCCUCCUGUGUUGGCCUCCCAAAGUCCUGGGAUUACAGGCAUGAGCCACUGCUCCCAGCCCCAUCUGAUCUCGAUAGUCCUCAAUAAGGAGUAGCCAUUAUUAUCACCUGAAAUAAAGAUGAGGAAACUGACUUCUUU
rnacentral:lncRNA from 10 species